CACAGAGACCUUACUGACGUGUUAAAGCCUGAUCUCAUCAGAUCUCUGAAGCUAAGCAGGGCUGAGCCUGGUUAGUACUUGGAUGGGAGGCUGCUGGGAAUCCCAGGUGCCACAGAUG
rnacentral:rRNA from 1 species